UGCGGUGUAAUCACACUGAAAACACCGGGUCUCGUUCGAACACUGAAGUUAAACGCCAUUGAGCCCUAUCACUACUUACGUGGGGGACUACUUCUGAACAACAGGUACAGUAA